UCAGGACUGGGCGAGGGGUGCGGUGGGGGGAGGGACAGUGACAUGCAGCACAGAUGUGCGGUGGAGGGAAGGUGCCGCCUCGCCAGCCGCCGCCAGGGUGAGUGAGAGUGGGGGCAGAUCGCCGUGGAGGGAUCUCCGCGUGGCGCCGGGACACCUGGUUCCUGAUGGAAGGAUCCUAAGUCCAUUCAAGGGUCGGAGGACCAUGGCCAUCCACAAAGGGGAAGGUGCUAACGGUCCUGGGGCUUCGAUCUCUCCCGGAGCCGCGGCGUGCAGACCGGUGACCGCCUGUGAAAGGCGUGUCCCCUGGCAGAGACCUCCGAUUGGGUCCCCAAGCCAAAGACCUAAAGGCUUUGAAGGCAGAGCUCAAGAGAAUCCCGGGAAGAAAUUGUCCCCAGUGUAGUGGCCUGCCUGUGACUCCUGGCCCCGCCCUAGUCUGAUAUUAUCUCGUCCUUUCCGGGUACCAGGAAUCAAACUCGGGACUUUAUUCUUGCCAGGCAGGUGCAGCACCACUGAGCUAAAUCCCCAGCCCACCACUGGAUUUUCUACAGACAAUCCUGUUGUCUGCCAAUAAAGUUUUACUUCUUGUUUUCCAAUAUGUAUUUUAUGUUUUUUGUGUUGUCCUGUAGUGGUUGGG
rnacentral:lncRNA from 1 species